ACGGGAGGCAGCAGUAGGGAAUAUUGCACAAUGGGGGCAACCCUGAUGCAGCAACGCCACGUGUGGGAAGAAGCAUUUCGGUGUGUAAACCACUGUCGUGAGGGAAUAAAGCUGGAGCUGUCCAGUUGAAUGUACCUCGAAAGGAAGCACCGGCAAACUUCGUGCCAGCAGCCGCGGUAAUACGAGGGGUGCAAGCGUUGUUCGGAAUCACUGGGCGUAAAGGGAGCGCAGGCGGAAGUGCAAGCGGUCUGUACAAUACCUGGGCCCAACCCCGGACCUGCAGACCGGACUGCAUUUCUUGGAUAGUUCAGGGGCAAGCGGAAUUCCUGGUGUAGCGGUGGAAUGCGUAGAGAUCAGGAAGAACACCGAUGGCGAAGGCAGCUUGCUGGGGACUUAUCGACGCUGAUGCUCGAAAGAGCGGGGAGCAAACAGGAUUAGAUACCCUGGUA
rnacentral:rRNA from 1 species